rnacentral:rRNA from 1 species
CGCCUGGGGAGUACGGCCGCAAGGUUAAAACUCAAAUGAAUUGACGGGGGCCCGCACAAGCGGUGGAGCAUGUGGUUUAAUUCGACGCAACGCGAAGAACCUUACCUGGCCUUGACAUCCAGAGAACCUUCCAGAGAUGGAUUGGUGCCUUCGGGAACUCUGAGACAGGUGCUGCAUGGCCGUCGUCAGCUCGUGUCGUGAGAUGUUGGGUUAAGUCCCGUAACGAGCGCAACCCCUAUCCCUGGUUGCUAGCAGGUAAUGCUGAGAACUCCAGGGAGACUGCCGGUGACAAACCGGAGGAAGGUGGGGAUGACGUCAGGUCAUCAUGGCCCUUACGGCCAGGGCUACACACGUGCUACAAUGGCGCGUACAGAGGGCUGCCAACUCGCGAGAGUGAGCCAAUCCCUUAAAACGCGUCGUAGUCCGGAUCGGAGUCUGCAACUCGACUCCGUGAAGUCGGAAUCGCUAGUAAUCGCGAAUCAGAAUGUCGCGGUGAAUACGUUCCCGGGCCUUGUACACACCGCCCGUCACACCAUGGGAGUGGAUUGCACCAGAAGUAGUUAGUCUAACCUUCGGGAGGACGAUUACCACGGUGUGGUUCAUGACUGGGGUGAAGUCGUAACAAGGUAACCGUA